GCACGGCUGCCUGCAUCAACACUCAUGUAGAAUAGCUUUGCAAUUGAGUCAGGGAGAGAGAUGGCUGGGAGAGAGGAUGGAGCAGCAGCAGGAGCCAUGGAAGAAGGGCAAGACAGCAAGGAGGUGAAGUGUGAGAAUUCAGAGGAUGGAAGCAACACCAGCAGAAGAUGCCAAGGCAACGACAUGAUCUCCGUCCAAUUCAUGCAGAAGAUUCUUACGGAAAUUCUGGGGACAUAUUUCAUGAUAUUUGCCGGGUGCGGCGCGGUGGUGGUGAACCUGAGCACCGGCGGCGCGGUGAUGUUCCCGGGGAUCUGCGUCGUGUGGGGGCUCGUCGUCACGGUGCUGGUCUACUCCGUCGGCCACAUCUCCGGCACCCACCUCAACCCCGCCGUUACCGUCGCCUUCGCCACGUAAGGAUGCUUCCCGUGGAAGCAGGUGCCAUCGUACGUGGUGGCCCAGGUGCUGGGAUCCACCAUGGCAAGCCUGACGCUGCGCGUGGUGUUCGGCGGCGGCGGCAGCGCGCGGGGGGAGCACUUGUUCUUGGGGACGACGCCGGCGGGGUCGAUGGCGCAGGCGGCGGCGCUGGAGUUCGUCAUCUCUUUCUUCCUCAUGUUCGUCGUCUCCAGCGUCGCCACGGACAACAGAGCAAUCGGUGAAUUGGCUGGGCUCGCUGUCGGUGCGACGGUCGCGGUGAACGUGCUCUUCGCAGGGCCGGUGACGGGGGCGUCGAUGAACCCGGCUCGGAGCCUUGGUCCGGCGAUGGUGGCGGGGAGGUACGGCGGCGUGUGGGUGUACGUGGCGGCGCCGGUGAGCGGGGCGGUGUGCGGCGCGUGGGCCUACAACCUGCUCCGCUUCACCGACAAGACGCUGCGUGUGAUCGCCAAGUCCGGCUCCUUCCUCAGGAGGAGCUCGCGUAGGAGUUAAUGAUAUAGAUAUAGACAGAAUUGAAGCCGUUCUGUCUCUCGAAUUUGCAGCAACAAUCCAAUCACCGUGAUGCUAAUGUUUUUUCAAGCACGUUUGCUAGUGUAAAUGUGUAAUUAACGGCCCAGGCAGGCAGGCGGACCGGCCCAUCCUUCGGUUGAUUUGGGGAAAUUUGGACCGAGGCGGAAUGAAGUACCGGGCCGUGAUGUCAGAGAUGUGGCGCGCCCAAGGUGGGCUGCGCGAUCUUCUA